GAUAGCAUCACACAAUCUUGUAUUUGACUAUUUUUAGGUCUCAUGUUUCCAUGUUAUAAGAUAUGGCAUAUCCUAUUUUGAUGUGCAUCUAUUCCAUUCUCGUGUACUUGCUUUUGUGAUUUUUCAUUCCUGAAGAAAUGGGCGACAUCAAGGUGCCAAGCCUGUUAUGCCUUCUACUACUCAUGCCACUUCUUUUAGUUCCUUCCUCAGAAGCCAAGACCUGCGAGGUAGCAAGCAGGACCUAUAUGACAGUAUCAUGCAGGGUGGAUCCAUGUGCUAAAGCCUGCCACAAGGAGGGCUUUACCAAGGGGUUAUGUUACAUAUACGCACAAUUUAAAAUCAUUUGUAUCUGCCAAAAAGAGUGUAAAACAAAGAAAAAGUUGCAAUUCGCAUAGGAUGUGUGAUGUAACAAAUAAUAAGGUUGGGUAGUAUGAUGAAUUGAUAAUGAGCAAUGACAGAAGUUGAGUCCA